UACGGAGGGUGCAAGCGUUAUCCGGAUUCACUGGGUUUAAAAGGGUGCGUAGGAGGGCAGGUAAGUCAGUGGUGAAAUCUCCAAGCUUAACUUGGAACUGCCGUUGAUACUAUCUGUCUUGAAUAUUGUGGAGGUGAGCGGAAUAUGUCAUGUAGCGGUGAAAUGCUUAGAUAUGACAUAGAACACCAAUUGCGAAGGCAGCUCGCUACACAUAUAUUGACUCUGAGGCACGAAAGCGUGGGGAUCAAACAGG
rnacentral:rRNA from 1 species